rnacentral:rRNA from 1 species
CCACUUCGGUGGUACUCGAGCGGCGAACGGGUGAGUAACACGUGAGUAAUCUGCCCCUGGCUUCGGGAUAGCCACCGGAAACGGUGAUUAAUACCGGAUAUGACAGACCCUCGCAUGGGGGUGUGUGGAAAGUUUUUCGGCCAGGGAUGUGCUCGCGGCCUAUCAGCUUGAUGGUGAGGUAAUGGCUCACCAUGGCUUCGACGGGUAGCCGGCCUGAGAGGGUGACCGGCCACACUGGGACUGAGACACGGCCCAGACUCCUACGGGAGGCAGCAGUGGGGAAUAUUGGACAAUGGGCGGAAGCCUGAUCCAGCAACGCCGCGUGAGGGAUGACGGCCUUCGGGUUGUAAACCUCUUUCAGUACCGACGAAGCGCAAGUGACGGUAGGUACAGAAGAAGCACCGGCCAACUACGUGCCAGCAGCCGCGGUAAUACGUAGGGUGCGAGCGUUGUCCGGAAUUAUUGGGCGUAAAGGGCUCGUAGGCGGUUUGUCGCGUCGGGAGUGAAAACGCCGUGCUUAACACGGCGCUUGCUUCCGAUACGGGCAGACUAGAGGUAUUCAGGGGAGAACGGAAUUCCUGGUGUAGCGGUGAAAUGCGCAGAUAUCAGGAGGAACACCGGUGGCGAAGGCGGUUCUCUGGGAAUGACCUGACGCUGAGGAGCGAAAGUGUGGGGAGCGAACAGGAUUAGAUACCCUGGUAGUCCACACCGUAAACGUUGGGCGCUAGGUGUGGGGUCCA